GGCCAGGCACGGCGGCUCACGCCUGUAAUUCCAGCACUUUGGGAUGCCCAGGCGGGCAGAUUGUGAGGUCAAGAGAUCGAGACCAUCCUGGUCAACAUGGUGAAACCCCGUCUCCACUAAAAA